GUUCUGUUCUCUCGGUGAAACACGACUUUGGACCACCGGUAGCGAAAUUUUCCACACACCACGUCAGGCGUAAGUAGUUUAGCCAUAGCACAUCACCAAACAUAUAGAUAACAUAUUUUCCUCACCGUCGGUUAGUUUCCCUUUGUCAAAUGCACCUGUGACCUGUCUGCUAUCAGGUUGCCUGCACGCAAGAGGCUUCAGGCCAACUCUGGAUUGCCAUACAGUUGAGCUGAAGCUACAGCUGACCUACACCACCCAGCACGUCCCACACGGACACUCGAGACAACGCUCGAGCUGAAGCCUCCUAAAGGCUAGAGAAAUGUUUCCUAUGCCAGGGGCGACCACCUACAUGCCGUGUAUGCAUCGGAUGGAGACUGUCGCCAUAUGGCUCGCAAUCUUGCUGCUCAUACAUUCUGUUUUCGACGGGUUGCUGCUCUGAUUUGGUGCGGUGGUGCCGGUCGUUUGGUGCGCAGAAUGGUCCUCUGAUAUAGCCAGGCAGGACCAGAGAAUUGACGGCUCAAACAGUUGCUCUUUGCUUUUUCUUUCUUUCUUUCUGAUUCUGGUUUUUGUUUUUUGCAGGAACAUCUCUUCCUCUGUUCAGGACAGGGCGUCGCGGCAGCCUAGCAAACCAGUGCACCCAUAGACAAAAUAAAAAUAGAAAUGCAGUCUAGAUUUGAUGUGUGCCACUGCUGAAGAAGGCUCUGAUUAUCUACUACUCCCACUAUCGGCUCAAGCAUAACUCAAUCAUCUGAGGAACAGAGCUAGUGCGAGGCCUCGCCCACGCUAGCUGCUGCUGCUACCUAGGAUUCCUAGGAAUGACUACUUACUUGCUUGCUCUUCCGUCCUUGCGAGCGUGGUGGGGUGUUAGGUGCUGCUAAAAGUUGCGGAUCAUAGGCGCCUGAUCCUCGACGGCAACAUACAUGCACAUAGUGGCGAUGGCGGCCGACGGUGCAUGGGGGAGCAGUUGUUGUACGUGGACAGGCGCGCGCAGGGUGCUGGCCGCCGUGAUGAUUAACCUAGUGGUGGUGGUCUUGGAGAUCAAAUCACUCUGCAAAGCUGCUGCAGGCCAAGGGGGUUAUGGUGGAGGGAGAAUCCUUGGCCUUGGCCUUUUGAUUGUGCGUCUGGCUUUCGCCAUGCACGAGUUACGCCGUUAGCGCGCAUGAUGAUGAUGCUUCGUAGGCCACGACCGGUCCGGCCUGCCCAUGCAUCAUCUGCAUAAGCAUGAUGCCAGAACUUUGUCAUAACUAGAUCACGCCCUAUAAUUGAACUCGACGUGUGAUAGUUUAAAGCAAGCUCCAUCAUGCGUGUGCUUUGUUUCUUUCGGAUGUUGUUGCUGCUGCUGUUAGAUACUCAUGAGUGUUGUUUAUGCUUAUGCGAUUAAUUUGGUUAAGCCAAGUACUGUACAUGCAUGCAUGAUUUAA